GACAGAGGGGGCAAGCGUUGCUCGGAAUUACUGGGCGUAAAGGGCGCGUAGGCGGGUUGGUAAGUCGGUCGUGAAAUCCCUCGGCUCAACCGAGGAACGUCGAUCGAUACUGCUGUUCUUGAGGAUUGCAGAGGAGACUGGAAUUCCCGGUGUAGCGGUGAAAUGUGUAGAGAUCGGGAGGAACACCGGUGGCGAAGGCGGGUCUCUGGGCAAUUCCUGACGCUGAGGCGCGAAAGCGUGGGGAGCAAACGGG
rnacentral:rRNA from 1 species